UGACCACUUUCCAAAAGAAAGGCAGGGCUAUGGCAGCCGGGUCAAUUGCCGU
rnacentral:sRNA from 20 species